UUUAUUUCACAAAAUGGCUGCA
rnacentral:siRNA from 1 species